AGAUGUGAGGGUGAUCUGGCUGCAACAGCUGUCACCCCAUUCAUCGCCAGAGUUGAUUCAGCCGAUCUGGCUGGACAGAUGGGUGUCCUCUUCCUCCCUCAAUGCUCCAUGUGCAUCCUUCCUGAAGCUGCGCACUAAGUUGAAGAGGACAACCAUCCCCGAUAGAGGAGGACCAUUCCUCGGUCAAGGGUGUACAAAUAGCUGCACUCCUCUGCUAAAACCUCCAAACAAACUCUCAAGAAGUAGAAAAGCAGUAGUUAAUAAAAUUGCUAGGAGUUUUCAGUACCUCCCCACAGUUGUCUG
rnacentral:snRNA from 1 species